rnacentral:tRNA from 1 species
GCAAAAAUGGUAGGUUCCACCGAGAUUUGAACUCGGGUCGCAGGAUUCAAAGUCCUGAGUGCUAACCGCUACACCAUGGAACCU